rnacentral:rRNA from 1 species
GAUGAACGCUGGCGGCGUGCCUAAUACAUGCAAGUAGAACGCUGAAGCUUGGUGCUUGCACCGAGCGGAUGAGUUGCAAACGGGUGAGUAACGCGUAGGUAACCUGCCUCUUAGCGGGGGAUAACUAUUGGAAACGAUAGCUAAUACCGCAUAAAAGUUGACAUUGCAUGAUGUUGAUUUGAAAGAUGCAAUUGCAUCACUAAGAGAUGGACCUGCGUUGUAUUAGCUAGUUGGUGAAGUAACGGCUCACCAAGGCGACGAUACAUAGCCGACCUGAGAGGGUGAUCGGCCACACUGGGACUGAGACACGGCCCAGACUCCUACGGGAGGCAGCAGUAGGGAAUCUUCGGCAAUGGACGGAAGUCUGACCGAGCAACGCCGCGUGAGUGAAGAAGGUUUUCGGAUCGUAAAGCUCUGUUGUAAGAGAAGAACGAGUGUGAGAGUGGAAAGUUCACACUGUGACGGUAACUUACCAGAAAGGGACGGCUAACUACGUG